UCAAAAUGUUUUAAUUAAGGUGGUUGGUACUUCUGCAGUGAACAUAAGUGUUUCUUACUACACGUAUAAGUUUAAAGUUAACAGCAGCACGGUAGCUGCACCAUCACCCAGAGGAUGCAGGUGGAGCCGCUGAGCCGCUGUGAAAGAAUAAAACCAUUUCUGUUUAGAGCAACGUUUUCCUCCGAUAUGCUCAGAGCCUCGCCUGCCUGUGUUGAAGUUUAAUUUGACCUGGCAGCGUGCGGGAAAAACAAAACUGAGGAAAUGACAUUUGGAAAAGCAUCAGUGCGCUGUUGCCCCCGGAUACGAUGACUGAUGUAAUUACCUCAACGCCAUAAGAGUUCUCCCCCAAGACCCCCAACGUCUCAGGCUGACGGCUGGAGGUUGUGGGAAUGUUUGUGGAUCCAUUGUGUGCAGGAUGCGUCACGGACGAAAGAAUCAGACGAGAGUCGGCCUCCGUUGGCCGUCACACUGACCGAUUUCAACGCUCCUCUCGGGAUGUGAGGUGUCCUCUGCGGCCGUACCCCCAAAAACAUCUGGUGGACGCCCGAACGCAAACUCCUGCAGGAUCCUGCAGCUGAGCGGCCUUUCAGAGAACCCGGCUAACAACCUCGAAUGAGGACGUUGCCAGGCAGCAGGACCCGGAGACACACUUCGCCUUCCUCCCUCUCCAGGCGCCCGAAACAAGUCGAGCCUCCGCAGAAGGCGAGGGAGGCUUUCUGCUCAGAGAUGUUCCUGGCCGGUCCCC